rnacentral:lncRNA from 1 species
AUCCAUUGCCUUUGUAUCUUAUUAUCUCAACGUGUCUAGAUGGAGAUGGAAAUGGAGGAGCUGAAACGCCAAAGAGAUCUUGCACAAUCUGAGGUGGAUGAAUUGCGCAGAAAACUUCAAGAGGAUAGACAGGCUUCUAGCACAUUGGAAUCACCCUGCCCAUCGGUGAAGAAGUGUCUCUCUUAUUCUGAAGCAUCCUUGCCAAAUCUCGACAGCAAGGAGCCAAGCCGCUGUGAUAGAACCAGGAAGACGAUGCUAAGGCAGUCAAUGAGGCAAUCAUCAACUGCACCUUUCACAUUGAUGCAUGAAAUUCGCAAACUUGAACACCUUCAGGAGCAACUUGGAGAAGAAGCAAAUCGAGCUCUGGAAGUACUACAGAAGGAGGUGGCUUGUCAUAGACUGGGUAACCAAGAUGCAGCUGAGACAAUUGCUAAACUGCAAGCAGAAAUCAGGGAAAUGCGCACUAUCCAACCAGUUCCAAAAGAAGUUGAAGCUGGAAGUGUCGUAGCUCCUAACAAGAGUGUCAGUGCUAAUCUCAAGGAUGAAAUAACAAGGCUUCAUUCACAGGGCAGCACUAUAGCAGAUCUUGAAGAGCAGCUCGAAAAUGUUCAGAAGUCUAUAGACAAAUUAGUAAUGUCUCUCCCAAACAAUAAUCCACAAUCAAACUGUGAAGUAACUCCCAAGACUAAGAAUCAACAGAAGAAGAAAAAGAUACUUCCUUUGGCCUCAAGUAACGGCGCUAACAGACAGAAUUUUAUAAGGUCUCCUUGCUCUCCUCUAUCAACUUCCCGGCAAGUUUUGGAAAAUGAGAUUGAGAAUAGAGAUCCGUACAAUGAUGACAUUGUACAGCCAGUGAGACCCUGCCAGAGUCUGAGAAAGAGACUCCUAAAAAGAAUGAAGAAGGUGGGGAUGUCUCAUCAAGAGAAGGGACGCCUGGCUAUCGGCGCUCAAGUUCAGUGAACAUGAAGAAAAUGCAGAAGAUGUUUCAGAAUGCAGCAGAGGAGAAUGUCAGAAACAUAAGAGCCUAUGUGACUGAACUUAAAGAACGUGUGGCGAAAUUGCAAUACCAAAAGCAGCUACUUGUUUGCCAGGUACAACAGUUAUUAUAUUCCUAUUCUAUCAUCUGCUUCCAAUUUAUUUUCACUGCACCAACCAAUUCUUUUCAUUUACAUAUACGUUGAAAUUAUAUUGCGGUCACUUCUUUUCCGAUUUCCUUCAAUAUAUUGAAACACAAAUCAUCCGUAUUUAUGAUUCCUUUAGGUGCUUGAGCUGGAAGCAAAUGAAGCAGCUGGAUAUAAUAUAGAGGAGGAGGAGGAGAAUAUAAAUGAGCAAGAGGAGCCCCAAGUUUCGUGGCAUGUAACUUUUAGGGAGCAAAGACAGCUGAUCAUUGAGUUGUGGGAUGUGUGCUAUGUGUCCAUCAUCCAUAGGACACAGUUUUAUUUGUUAUUCAGUGGUGACCCUGCUGAUCAAAUAUACAUGGAGGUGGAGCUAAGACGCUUGACUUGGUUGCAGAAGCAUUUGGCAGAGCUUGGCAAUGCAAGCCCAGCUCAUUUUGGAGAUGAGUCUGCAAUCUCUCUGUCAUCAAGGUUCUUUCUAUCUCUCUCUUGCUCUUGCAGAGUUUAUUAGAACAGGCAUUUCUCCUCAUUUCCAUGUCUUCAAAGUGAUUGAAUAUUUAAAAUUCUUGUCUCAUAUUGGCUUGCAGUAUUAGAGCAUUGAAACGAGAAAAGGAGUUCCUCGCAAAAAGGUUGGCCUCGCGUCUGACUACGGAAGAGAGAGAUGCACUAUACAUCAAAUGGAAUGUUCCACUUGAUGGGAAGCAGAGAAGGCUGCAGUUUGUUAACAAACUGUGGACAGAUCCUCAUGAUGCCAAGCAUAUACAGGAGAGUGCUGAUAUAGUGGCAAAACUUGUAGGGUUCUGUGAAGGAGGAAACAUGUCAAAGGAGAUGUUUGAACUCAAUUUUGCACUGCCUACAGAUAAGAGACCAUGGAUUAUGGGCUGGAACCCAAUUUCAAACUUUCUACAUUUGUGAGAAACACUUCUCUUGUUUGCAAGUAUUUACCUUUCUGUACAUUGUAAAGGAAUUUUGGAGUUUCUCUCCAAGCAUUCAAGAUUCUUUUCUGUACAUCAAUUGAACACACUGUGGAUGUGGAUGAUGAUGGUUUGGGAUAUUUAUUUCAUCUUCAUAUUUCAAUAAAAAGGAAUCAUCAAUUCGUUUAGUGUUGUUCUCUACUUGGUGUUGAUGUCACCUCCACUUUCGACUCCUACCCAACACAAAAAUGACUCCUUUUUCCACUUUAGCCAGCCAUGUUUGAUAACUCAGUAUUUCUGUGAAUAUACUCUGGGUUUCAGCUGUAACUAAAGCCAGAACCAGAUUAUAUAAUCUAGCUGCUCCUUAAAACCUGGUUUUUGCUACACUUUUGUGAUAACUUGAAACUGAAUCUUCGAACACCCGGUUUACAUUUUGAAACCAUAUAUCAUUUGGCAAUGUAAUGCCAGUUUAAUUUGAAAGAUUUUAUUGUCUCGCCUGCUUCCCUUGAAUUGUAAGAGCAUUCAAGGGAAAGAAGAAUGAGUGCUACCUUCGUUAUUUGUGAAUUUGGGAGGCCUUGGUCAGCUUGUCUUGGAUUACUCCCCUUUCUCAAUUUCUCCCAAGUGUGAGUGUUGGAAUUGCCAUUUACAAAACUUUUCUGUGAAUAUGCGUGUGUGUUUGUGUUCAGAGAGAGAGAGAGAGAGAAUCGGGAGUCUUUGGACAUGUUGUGAUGAACUAAUGAUCCAUCAUAGAUUCCAAAUUUCAAAAUAUUGCAGCAAAUGCCUUCCAAAUCUCCAACUAGUAUACAAUAAACCACACCAGAGACAGAAAUUGGUGAAAUGAGACCAUGACCCCAACAUUAUUUCCAUUAACUAGUGCUCCACUACUAGUAGCAUACAAAAUAUUAUACCACACCAGGUUUUAAGACAAAGCACCGACUCUCAUAAUCUCCGCCACCCUUCUAUCAUGCAGUAACCCACAUGAUCCAUUCAGGAUACAGAAGAACUGAGAGACGAAACUCUAUAUCAUAUAAUUAAGGUUCUACUAGAUCAUCUAGCAUUUGGGGAAGGGGGUUCCACAGGUGCUAGCAACUUUCCUGGCAUUUGGUGUGUUGAUAAACUUCUGAAGGUUCGGGUUCUUGAGGUACUGGCAAAGGCAGGGCUUCUGCUCCUUGAUCUUGCUGCAGCAUAGUUUAGAUGGUGGGGUGGAAGAUGUGAUUGCACUCACACACGAGCUCAGCUGUGCUGGGCUGCAUGUCACAGCAGACACUUUGACAUGUUCUUGAGCCAGAAGAAGCACCAUUAGAGUGUAAGCUACAAUGUAGGAUGUCUUCAUUCUCACUUGAACCUAAAAAAGUAUGCUCAAAUCUCAAAACUUCGUAUGUGUGUGUGAAUGACUGAAUGAGAGAGAGUUGUGGGGUUGGCAGUGUUUUACGCUUGGGCACCCUCUCAAUUUAUAGAGUAACAAAUGUGAGAGGAGAGCUGAGUUGGUGAAGAGGUGGGGCCAAGAGGGAUCUGUGGUGUGAUCCCUAGUUUGAAUACCUGUGCAGCACUUAUGGCCAUGGACAGCAUGGCAUAAGUUCAUUUAUUUUUUUUUUUUUUAGGAAUCCUAAGGGUUUUUAGCUUGAUUGGUCGCUCAAUUAAUUUUAAAUUUGUAUUUUAAAAAUUAUUAAUUCAGUAUCAUAAAUUUUAGGAUCAUUUAGAGAAUUGCAUAAUUAUAUUUUCUGGGACAUAGAGAAUUACUUUGGUACAUGCAUAAGCAAUGAAGUACAGGAGGUAUUUUGCUACCUUCCUCUUGAACUAUAAGAAGAGAAGAAAACUCAAGUUAAGGGUCCACCGUGACCAUUGUCAUCUGCCUCCCAUUCCUUCAAUAAAUCCCCAUUCUAAUUUACAACUGUUGUGGCUCUGUCAAAAUGAGUACAUGUAAAUUUAGCUACCAAAAAUCUUAAACCACACUGCUUUCUUGUAAAAAAAGUUGAGCAAGUCGUGGGGGACUCUACUUCGUGUCAUUUGUCUUUGGUCUGAAAACAACAGACUUGAUUGUUUGCACAGACCGAGUUUCAAACUAAUUGUAUGGAAGUUCAUCUAAUUGAUUUGAUUUUUUUGAUGAGACAAAAGGCAACCUGAUUAAUGUGAAAGUGGAGAAAAAUAGUUGGCGCUUGCUGAACAUGCCAUGUCUCGUGUGUGAAAGGAUCCGUCAUGUUCUGGCAACGCAGGUGGAGUCCUCCAGCCUCCAAAACUUGGCAUUCUUUCAUUAGAGGCGGUGCAUGUCGACGUUUGAUCCUCGUGGUGGCGCUAAUAACUAGCUAGUUUUCUUUCUUCCCCGGCCCCUUGAAUUCCUAUGUCGGCGUUCGAUAAACUAAUAUCCAGCUCUUAAAAACAAAUGAUCAAAUACAAUCAUGAACAGAAUAAACGAAGAAGUAUCCUAUUAAGACAAAAAGCUCAAGGAAAAAAGAAAAAGUACUGUGUGAUGCAUUGAUUCCAUGGCUAAAAUUAAGUAAAUUAAAGAGGGGGGGGGGAAAGUUUGCAGCUGGCUCCAUAUUGUUGAAUCUUGAAACAGGAAAUUUGUUUCUUUUUUUUCAUAUCUAUCUAUCUAUCAAACUUCCCUUUUGAAACAGGAAUUCCAUGAUGUCGUUGUGGCCAGAUUUAUAUGAAAUAAUUAAUUAAGAAAAUACGUUCUGUCAUUUCAAUAAAAAGCAUUAAUGACAAAGAAGAAAGAAGGAUUUGUCUAUCAAAACUUUCCCAUUUCUCUGUACUUCCAUUGUGAACAUUUGAAUUGGGUAUCCAAGAUGCUUUUCGUCACACUUGUUGUCAAUUUCUGUGUUUUAAAUCAUUGAGUAUUUUAUCAUAAUGUUUUUUCUUCUUCAAUAAUUAGAGACAGAGCAUGUUAUCUAAUAUAAAAAAAUAGUAAUUUAUAAUAAUUUGGUCUUGUGGUGGGGAGCACCGAUGCAGGAUUUAUCAAUAAUGAUUCUAAAUUGAUAAACACCAUUCAAAUUUCUAGUUUCUCUGUAGAAAAAUCUAUACACCAAUUAUUGGGUUCUCGGAUAUCAUAAAUAUAGUGUAAAAAAUAAAAUAAAAUUAUUUGAGAAUCUCUAAAAUUCCAUUAAAUAGAUCUAGAGUUGUUUAGAAAUUUAUUACCUAAAGAUCUGAUCUUCUCCGACUUUGAAUAAUUUUUUUAAAAAUGAGUUAUCGCAAGCCACAAGUUAUCAAAUUGCCCGGCCUCCAACGAUAAUCAACACGAACCACCAGUAAGAAAUCUCUUAAAUUCCUAUUUAUGAGAGAUGAUUUUUAUUUAGAAGAGAAGGAUUGUUAUAAUAACUCUGUAACUUAUGUAGUUUUUUUUUUCGUAAUAACAAACAACCUCAUAAAAAAAAUAAGAGGUAAAGCUCUAUAUUUAUAGGUAAUCCUAAAAACCCUAUAAAUAAUAUAAUAUCUAUUUACCCUUUAAAUAAUAUUCAUAUAUUAUUUAAGGGUAAUUUUAGAAAUUUAAUCAAUCAAGUCCUUACUUGAUUAUUCUAGAACUAGAAUUAUAAUCUCUGAAUUAAAUACAUUUUAGUGAUUAAUUUCUAAAAUUAUUUUCAUUCAAGUUACACUUGAUUAAUUAUCCAAAUUUGAUUUCUGACUAAUAAUUCUUAAUGUCUGUGAUCCAUUAAAUUCCUAAUAUAUUGGUCCAAAUAUAAAUUAUAAUUCUAAAUAAAUCGAAUUAAUAAAUCAAACAAUUUAAUCUACUAUCAAUUCAAUAAUUGAUUAAUUUAUAUUUGAAGAUCAAGUGCACCGUCUAGCAAUGUGUCAUGAUUUCCCAAAUAUUAGAAAAUUCAUAAAUGGUUUGACUUAACCUUUAAUAAAUGAUGGUUUCUAAGUGUAAUUAUUAUCACUUCAUCAAUAAUAUUUCAAUUUAGACAUUUUAGUAUGAAGUGCGUCUAUCAUGUCAAAUCAUAUUUGGUCGCAGCAUUAUAGUCAUUGAUCCUUUGAAUAAGAUUUGAAAUUCUUUUCAAAUCUCAUUCCACCUCACGUAAGGACUUAACAAUCAAUAUUGUUUGAUAACAUGUGGAACAUUUUUCUUAAUUCACCUAGAGUGACAAAUCCUCUCUUAACCACUCAAAUAUCUUCAUAUAGUUUAUGUUAUAUCCAAUUUCUAUCCAUUUAUUACCUUUACUAAGAUAACGUGUAACAUGAUCAAAACAUAUCACUUUUUAUGUAAUAUAACUUAGUGUUCUCAAAUUUAAAAUCACUUACACAACCGUCACGUGAGCUUUUUUAUAGAUACAAGUGAUAUCUCCAUAUAAAAUUAUCAUGCGGGUCAAUUCAUUGUACAUGUCUUAUGAUAAGCAUCUACAUAUUAGAUCUAGGUAUCCCUUAUACCUCAACUUAUGAGAACAAUUGCGUCUUUUCAUAAGGAAAAAAACACAUAGUAUGUAUCAGUCUCUAUGACUUUAAUAAAUAUCUAGUAUUGAAAAGAAUAUCGAAUAAGAAUAUUUUAGUAACAAUGCUUUAAUGCAAUAAGCAUCUCGUAAUUAUAAAAACUUUAUAAAUUUUUUUUGCAAUGUGUUUUUGUCUCAUUAGCUUUAUAUAUACUCUAAAUUAAUAAAUCAAAUAUUAGAUUCAUUAAUCUAAUAUUAUAUGAAUACUAAAGAUAAAUUAAGUAUUUAUUAAUAAUAAAUAUAUAUUUACAUGAAUACAAUAAUAUCACGUAUAACCAGCUGAUUAACUACAAGGUAUAUUAAUCCAACGCCAACAAUACCAAAUACUUCUUGUUGUAACCCGAUUUUGACCCACUUAUUUUUAAAUUAAUUUUGAGGGUAAAUCUUGAAAAUUAAAAGACCAGGGGUUUGAAUGCAAGGAUUUAGAAACUUCAAAGACCAGAUUGGAAAUAACCAUUCUCAGCCCCAAAACAACAUCGUUUCAAUAAGGCGUUGUCUGUCAUCUUCAUCUCUAAAGCACCGAACGCCCGCCUACAAAGAAGGAAAUGAAAGUGUGAAACACCAGCAUCCUAGUCCUUUCAAAACACACAAAAAAAACAAUAUUUAUCUUCAUGAUAAUCACAACCCGGCAAGAUAAGGAUUACACUUCACAUCCGAGUCCUAGUAGGAAUCGUCUCCCUCAGUCGUGCUUAUCAGGAGGAGAGACAUGAGGCUGAGGGAGAGGAGGAUUGGUCCCUAUAAAUACCCAACAAUUGACAAACACUAGGGAGGGAAAAAUCGACCCAAAAACAAAGCAAAGGCCAAGAAAAAAACCAGAGCGAAAAAGAGCAUAAAAAGUUUUACACAAACAGGGGAAUCAGUUUUGCCAUUGCCUUCAUCCCUGCAGAAAAUGACCCAAAACAAAUCAGUACCUAUAGAAGCCAGCAUCGUCGUUCUCGUUUCCGGGAAAGCAGAAAGAAAGGGAUCAACCAGGCAAAAGUCACCAACAGCCAAGGUUGUUAAAAUCGCGAUUUUAACACGGCACGGAAAGCCUUACACAAACUCGGAUCGUAAAAACGGAUCGUAAAAUCGUAAGGAAUUUUAAAAUACAUUAAAAAAAUUUAGUUUGAGGACUAAAUUAAACUUUGAUUUAAUUAAUUAAAGGAAUCAGGGGUGUAAUUGAAAAAAUACCAAAGUUUGGAGCUGAUUCAAGGAAAAAUUGCUUGAAAAUUAAAAUUCAAUGACCAAAUUGAAUAGUCCAAAAACCCAAGACUGUUGUGUAAAUAGCGUUAUAACUCAAGGAUUCAAUUGAAUUUAAUCCAAGGGCACAAUUAGAAAUCAAUUAUUUCUGAUUAGGGUCCCAAUUGUUAAGUUUAAACUGUCUAGGAACUAAAUUGAAAAACAGCAAUGCCCAAGGACACAACGGCGCCGUUUUGAAAGCAUUGUUCAUCAUCUCCUACGCUUGCGCGGAUGAAGCCGGUUCAACAGGGAAAUCAAUUCAAAUAUAAUUAUUAUUCAAAGCAGAUUCUUUCUACAGAAUGAACUAGAAUGAUUUAGUUAUCCAAAUAUAUAACCACGACACGUUUUGAAAAGUUACAUGAUCAAACACGGCCGCAAGUCUGCAACAAUUGAAACAAAUUUUCAUUAUUAAUAUUAUUUAAUUGAAAACAUAAAUUAUAAUUACUUAUAUGUUCAAAGGGGGAUCUUACAAAAAUCUCUCUUGAUCCUCCGUAGACGAAUCACUUGAAGGGUUUUCAUUUGAAUCCCCAUUUCUUCUACUACCAUUAAAAGCAAAACUAACCCAAAUCUCUCUUUCAACUCUCCUCUCGCUCCCUCCAUCUCCCUCAUCUCUUUGCAAAGACGAGAUUGAUUUAGGGGGGACUAGAAGGGAAGCAAAUGAAACAGAACAGGGGAGAGAAACCAGUCUGUGACUGUGCAAGAAAAAAGUGAAGACGACUGUGCAAGAAAAAAUUGAAGACAAUCCGUGACUAUAAAUCCAAUAGGCUUCUGACAGCUCGACAUGAGGGGGAAAUUUUGUUUCAGCGCCUAAUUUUGUCAAAAUCGCAAAAUCGGUCUUGAAAUCGCGCAAAAAUAUAAAUAAAAAUUAUGUAUGUAAAAAAAAUAAAUAUGAAUUUAUUUAUUUAUUUAUUCAUUGACACCAGAGUCAGAAUAAAAAUACCAAUUCAAAUUUAUUUCAUUGUAUUUUAUUAAGUUAUAUAAAAAUAAAAAAUGUGCGUACAAAAAAUAAAUAACAUAAGAUAAAAUAAAAUAAAUUUAUUUGGUAUAUUCACUGACGCCAGAGUCAGGAAUAAAAAAUACUAAUGUAAAUUUAUUUUGUUUUGUUUUUUUUUUAUUUAGCUACAUAAAAAAUUAAAAAUAAUGCGUAUGCGUAAAAAAUAAAUUGAUUUUUACUUGUUUACUCAUUGACGCCAGAGUCAAGAAUAUAAAAAAAAUGAUGAUUUAAAUUUAUUUAUUUUGAUACCUACGUAAUAUUUACCAACGCCAGAGUUGGAAAUAUCCGUAGUUGAAUAUUCAUUGGCGCCAAAGUCAGGAAUAUUACACGCAAACAAUCAUAGUAUAAACCAACAAAAAAAAAUGUUAGCAAUUAAUGACAAAAAUCAGCAAUGCAGCCUGCCUUAAGCAGGACGUUUAAGGAGUGAUAAUAUAUUUUCUUUUACGUAACCAGUCUCGGACCAUAGAAUCUCUGUUGACCAAUUAGGGUUUCUAGUAACCGUAAUACUAGGUGGCGACUCCUUAAACAAAGAAUAUCCCUAUUAAAAAACAGGAUACCAGAAAUCUGUUAUUUCCAAAGAUUUAUUGAAUUUUUAAGGCCGCCACGAUGUGGAGUGCGACACUUCUCUUUUCAAGUUCAAACCCUAAUUUUCUUUUCCGUUAAUGAGAGUGAGAAAUGUUAUAAUUAGACUAAUUACCUCCUUGGUGAUGCUUUUGCUUUUGGUUUUUGGACCAAAAUGCAUUUACAGAAACAAUACCAAACGAAGACUAAAUUAAUUCAUUUAUUAGUUGGAUUCCUUCAAAGUUCAUGUACUAAUAAAGUUCAUAUAUAUAGAUGGUGGUCUAGAUUCCUUCAAAAUUCAUGUAGUAAUAAAGUUCAUGUACUUCAAAGUUCAAUAUCUUUUCAACAAGAGAAUCAUGAACACCAAUGGGUCAGCCGCUUAAACCAAAGACUUUUUACAAAUGUCAUUUCUUGUGCUUAUUAUGUUGUCUGCAAUACAUUAAUGGGUUUUCCUCCAUUUACAUCAAGGAUGAGAAAGAAUGACCAUGUGAAAGGAGGUUUUCUUGCAUGAGAUCACGCGCAUGGGCAUGUUGAUCGAUGGUGGUGUGCAUGUAUCUGAUUCUCAAAAACAUGGAGGGAUUCAUUCAACACAAAUACUAUAACACAUGGCUGCCUCCUAUUUAGAGAAGUUCGAGGAGAGGAUGGCAUAAGUUUUCUAUUUUUAACGAUAAUGUAAAAUUUGUGACAUUCAUGCUGAUGAUUUUUAAAGAGCAAAUUUAGAACAUCACCAGUUAAAUUAGAUUGUCUUUUCAUUUGUUUAUUAAACAUGGAGGGAUUCUAUCGGCUAAACUUUCAAUACCCUGAAAUUAACGAUUAUGUAAAGUUUGUGACACUCAAACUAGUAAUAUUUAAAGAAUAAAUUCAAAAUCUGACCAGUUAAACUACAACUAUCAUUUCAUUUGUUUAUUAAUAUGAGAUGGGUUGCGCAUUGAUGCUGAGAAAAUCUAAUCAUUUAAGCGUGAUUGUGGAGGACCUAUCCUAUUAAAUCUAAUCAUUUAAUUCUGCCUUUCGGCUUUCGGUGGUUUUUGGUGUUCAAGUCAUGGCACUUAGGCACUUAGCUAAGCAUGUCCUUGCUAGUAAUUAAAGAUAUCUUGAGCUUCAUUUCACAUAUUGUAAGUGUAAUUCAUCAUUUUCUUCUCUCUUGAUGAUCGAGAAAUCUUGUCCCUCUUCACAUUUCUCCUUGCGCUGCCACAUGCUCUCAUCAUUUAUUUGACUUGGAUUUUAGAAUUCCACGCCUAAGUAACCAUUAUUUUUAUCUCCGACAAUGAUUGUGAUUCUUGUUAUCACACUUCAUUAUGGGUGCUUGUUAUAGCAUAAAGUUGCCUUCUUUUUUCUCUUCUUUUUUGUGGUAGCGUAGCAGAAAGUUGCUUCGUGCUCAUGCCUUUUUCUUUUCUUUUUAGAGCAUGCCUCUUGUUUAUAUGCAUGGAUUAUUUCAAAAAGCUUGUCUAACUUGAUUCCUUCCAAAAACAACAUUCAAAAUGCGCAUUUUGCCACCUACUUCCAUAAUCCAUGCUGCUUUCAUUAGAACCGAGAGGGAGCCUAAAAGGGGGUGAAUUACAUAUACAAGGUAAAGCUACAAAUUAAUUUUUUUUAUAUAUAAUAACAUAUAAUUCUAAACAUUCAGGCAAACAACAAGCAAUUAAUAAUAUAAAUUCAUUAAUUAAAAAAAAUAAAGUUUAGAAAGAAUACACUAAGUUUUAUAGAGGUUUAUCAAAUCACUACUUUUUUCUUUGAUCUGUUCAUGAAUUCCACUAUCAGAUCAAUUUUUACAUAAUCUUUUUCUGACUAGAAGGUCAAAUCCAAUUAUUUUCCAAGUAAAGAGGCAAACCCAAUUCUUUUCCGAGGUAAUGAUCAAACUGUUAUCCCUAAUCUUUUUAAAUCAUCAUCAUAGAUAUAACGCUAACAAUUUUAUUUUUAAAUGUGACUUUCAAUAAUUAAACUAGUUCAGAAUGUACUUUAUACUCAAUUUAACUUUAAAAAAUUAUUCCAUUACAAACAUAGACUAGAAUAGUCCCUUAUCUUUGCAAAAUUGGACAUUUCGAUCCAUCUUGGUAAUUAGAGGUGACAAUUUAAUUUAAUCUGAAUUUGAUGGAUACCGAUUCAACCCAAAUGCAUAAGUAUUUUUUAGAUAUUUACCUUACCCAAUGAAUAAUAAAUAGAAUAUAAAUAUUAUCAAACCUGACCUAAAACCUGCUCGAACUUAAUCCAAAAUAUAUAUUUAUAUUAUAUAGAUAUAUUUGCAGAACAUAUAUAUAUAUAUAUAUAUAUAUAUAUAUGUUAACUAUUUUAUUUUUUUUAUUGAAUAAUAAUAAUAAUAAAUAAUCAUAUAGAUACCCGAAACCCAAUAAAUAAUUUAUAAAUAUCUAAUUUUUUUUUGUCCAAUAAAUAAUUUAUAAAAUAUAAAUAUCAAGAAAUCCAACACAUGAAUACCAUUGCCAUCCCUAUUGUUAAUAUGAUUCCACUACCUUGCAAACUUUUUAAGUUAUUAACUACUAGCUACUAACAAUAACUCAUUGAAUUCCUAAACACUGAUUGCAUGCUAUAACUAAGUUUUAUCUGUGUCAAAAUAUUUUAAAAAAAAAAAAAAAAAGACGAGAAGCAUAGAUAGAUCUGAAGUAGCCACGGUGAAAUAUUGUUAACAAUAAGAAUCUCGAGGCUUUGUAAAAGGAAUGCAAAUCAGUAAGCGUAAAGCAUGCAACCUUUGGCGUUUGUAGGCGCCUGCUUUGCCACUGAGCUUUCCUUUUAGCUGAGGCACACAGGAUUUAUCUCAGAUUUCUUGAAAUGAAUAAAGGGUUUUCUAUGUUUCGGUGGAAGACAAAAGCAAAUCUUUGCAACUACUAAAGAAAAUGAUUCACCAAUCCCCUUCAUAAUAUAUUGUAAUCAACCUUAUAGCUGAUUGCAAUCACUUACAAACCCUAAAAUGUUGGAGGGCGAGUACAUUGUUAAGGUUCACAAUUCAAUCAAACCCAUUUGUAGAAAAGGAUGUCAGCAAGCAAUGCCAAUUAAAAAUAUGUUUACACCAAAGAAGAUCACCAAUUGAAAGGGGGGCUGUAUUCAGAAAUUCAAACAUCUGAACAAAUACAGUACUAAUAAUAGCUGGAUAAUUCCUUAGGUGUCUCGCUUACACAUCUACCUUUCUUUUGGAAAUCAUUGAAUAUUUCGUUUAAAUGCAGUGGUUUAACAUACAUUCGCUGCAGCAAUCACUUAUCACCUCAGUACCAGGCUUAGCAGUUAUCACACCGAGAUGAGCAACAUACUGGCAUGGCCAAGGCAGUCAUGACCUCUCUCUUCUUUUUUUUGGCCCCUUUUUUGUCGUGUUAAGCAUGCUUAAUCUUUUUACCAGAGAAAAAACGAAAGUACCUCAACGCAUGGAGUCAAGCCCACUAGUAGAAAAGGAUGUUCCUGAGCAAAUCCUAACUCAAGAGUUCUUACUAAACGAAAUCAUGACAGGAAGAUGUCAGAUAGCCAUCUGAAAAAAACACGACAGUAAGAAACAGUUAGACAAAUCAUUAAUCAACCCUUAGUUGCAUCUGCAGCUAUUUUUGCCAUGAUUAUACUUUAGGUUAAUGCACAGUGGUUAAAUUAAACAUGAUGAAUCCUGCAAAUGUAGUAAUUUAUCCUUCUCCGUAGAAUGAUCACAUAAGAGUAGUUUAAAGAAGACGAGACGCAUUAACAAUAACCACCAAGGACCCUGUGCUCAAUCAUUUCUAAGCGUGCCAAAAUAUGUUCAUAAUCCCUUCCAAUUCUAUAGUGAAGUAUGAUACUGUUGCCAUGUUUAAGAGUAUGAGAGUGACAGAUUGGUGUUAAUGAAUCCUCGCUGGUCCUACUAGGAUUACAAGGUCCACUCCGAGUCAAGGAUCAGAGUGCUUGAAAUCAUUAUGUGGGUCCUUAAAAAUCAUAACGCACUCCCCUUUCAAUCUUCAUGCUUGCUUGUUCACUGUUCACUAAAGCUCUUUACAUCAUUUCUAACUCCAGUCAAAAAUUUCUACUGAAUAAGGAUAAGGAUUUCACAAUGAUUAGCUUACUUUAACAAAUCCACGGAUUUUACAGUUGUCUACCACAAAAACCAUGGAAUUUCCUAUUCUCUGCACCUUGGCCAAGGGUCAAGUUUUUCAGUCACUAAUCACCACAUUUUUAGUCAAAUGUUUGGCAAAAAACCAAAAUUUCAGGAAGAAGUAUCAUUUUCAUCUCACAAAAACAACAUUAGGAGAAUUCACAGAGAGCACAUUUCUUAUAUCAAUAGUUUCUGGUCCCCAACACAACAACGUCUACACCAACACCAAAAGCAAUAGGAGACAGAAACCAAAUCAUGUGUGUAACAUGCAAGCGUAGAAUAGCAUACACUUUUAUCCUUGCACGUCAUUUGAUUUAAAGUCCGUCAUAUGUGCACCAGAGUAAUAUAGUUCUUCUAGCUAGCCUAAGUUUAUCUUGAUUUAAAAUUAGGUAGGCAAAAAGGAGAGACAUCAGUUGACCACAGCAAUGUAAGAGUAAAUACACAUGACAAUAGACUAGAAAUAAAACAAAAACAACACCCAUGAAAAAAGACGAGUCUUUUCUAAUUGUAUAGAGGCAGCAUGUAAUAGGAAUCAGUUGAAGUGAAGUAUUCAUGUGCUGACUGCUGAAAGCUAAUCACCAGCCCAUCUUUACAAGCUCUAGAUAGGAUUUAUUACGCAUGUUUAGUUUGCUCAAGGAUUAAAAAUGCAUAAUGAUGUGAAAGGAAAUUUUACCAGUUAUCCAUAAAACUUUUGUUCACCUACAUAUAGAUAACUAUUGUGUUUUAGUAAGCACAAGAACUUGUGAAUAUGAAAGCAAAGGAAGCAGAAACUCUUGUCCUGCCAGUGUGUGCCCCAUCAAGAGAGGGAAAAGAUUUUGUACCAAAAAAGCUAAGAAAAAUUGUGAAUUUGAUUAGAUAUGGCUAUGGAAUUCUGAGAAAGAACCUCUUUUGUAUUGGUACUUCAACCUUUUUUCAUUUAGUGAAAUUAUUUGUUCCAUCUUCAUCCUUGAAGGUAGAUUUAAGUUGAAUGAAAUUAUACUACGUGUGCAGUUUCCUGGUACUUUCUUCAAUUCACUUUGAUUAGCACUCAAAGAAUCUAGUCUAGCCUCGGUCUGUUCAGAUAGAAAGAGCAGAGAAUUUCAUUCCAUCUCUCAUGUUAAAUGGUUUGAUGUGCAUGAGAGCAAUCUUGGAAGAAAUGGAUAUUCUAUUUUAAGUCCGACAUUAGGAAAAUUUCUAUUUCAAAGCAAUGCACAAUUUUUUCCUUGCAUUUGAUAAUUAGUAAUGUCAUAUUUAGAUAAAGUCCUAAGUAAUAACAAUAUCAGAAUAAUAAUUACACACAUUUAGACCCCAAGCCCGGAAAGGAUGGACAAGAUUUGCAAAGAGUAUUGUGGAGGUGACUCAUUACAUUCAAGGGCAGAUGUGAGAUUCCAAAUAUUCAACUAACUUUUUGUUCUUUUAAGAGAAACUGAACACCAAAUUGCUUCGAUCAAUUCUGUUCUCUUUCUCAGUGUUUGGUCCAGUUCUGUCAAUGAGCAAUGCUGAGAUUUUCAAAAUGAACCAAAUAAAUCAAAGCUGAAAUGAAUUAACAGAAUGCGUGCCCUUACAUACAGCUAACUAGUAUUAUGAUCCAGGAAAGCUUGUGAUGCUUCCCAAAGCAUACAUACACAUUUUGUUGCAGAGGCAGUGUUGCUCGGAGAUAAAAAGGCAUCAUGCAACUUAUGAGAGGGCAACGCUAGAUGCCAAAGAGAUCAAGAAAAAAAUAAGUGAUUUUAGCAUUGCAACCGUUAAGAGAAUCUAGUUUGCAAUAACAUGCUGUUUGUUUUUUAUUUAAGAUUUCUUUAUUUUUAGGAGAAACAGAUUAAGUGAUUUUUCAGUAAUCAAGCUCUUUGAUAAUGGGUGAUGUAGGAAUCUAAGUCAUACACCUGCACUUGCUUCUAAGCAAAAGUAGUUGAUGGAAUUAAAACUAUCCAUGUUCCAAUAGAUUUAGCAAAAUGCUCAUAUGUAAUACAUGAAUAUCAGAGACAAUGGUAAAAUUGAAGACAAGGAUAAGCGACCAUCAUCCUUUUAACAUGAUUCGCUGAUAUUACAAUGCAUCAGUAGCUAAAUAAAAAGCAGGAAAUGACUUAAUCUACAUGGUCUCUAAACUAAUUAUGUAAAUUUUUUCAACAAAGGACCAUAACAUCACAAUUCUUACUUGAAACAGCCAAAUCCAGCAGCAAGAUGACCAGUAAAGCCCAUGGCUAGUCUGGUCUCAACCAUUCCACCAAUCAUCAGAUCCAAUCCUGAUGUCCUUGCCUCCUCAAUAAUUUCAGGUCCCCCAACAAUGCCAACUUUGGCAAGCUUUAUGUUAAUGACAUCUGCAAGAUUUCCUGUUAUUAUUCUCUUUGCAUCAACUAAAUUAUGACAACUCUCAUCUGCUGCAACACAUACCCCAUAUUUGCCUUCCGCAAUAUGGGUAAAAUGACCAAGACCUUCCCAAUCAUCUCUAUGAACUGGUUAUUCAAAACAAAUGGGAGUUACACCCAUUUCUGAAAGAAACAAGUAAAUUUAAAUUAGUUUCAGUGAUCAGAAAAGCCUAAAUUCUUGAAAUUGAAUGCAAUUAUAUUGGAAAGAGGGGUGGGCUGGGGGCAUUAGAGAGGGAUUCAGAUACAAUCCAUGAAUCCCUUCUUCAUAUCAAGUUAGUUGAUAAGCUGAAGCCAACAUCACUGAGUAAUUACCGUGAAAUUUUUCAAAAACUUCAAUAGCUUCCUCAGGUUUGUAACCCUCAUUAGCAUCCAAGAUAAAUAAGCAAUCAGGAUGAACCGCACGAAUAGCUUGAAGAACCUCUACGUCCUCCCUCAGGUUCUUUCACACCUUCAACUUUAAAGUUUUGAAUCCUUGUUGUAGGUACUUUGAAGCCAAUUCCCAAUUCAGCAGCUUCUGCUGGAGAUACGAUUGGAAUCUGCAUAUGUAAGUAGUAGUAUGAAUGAGGCCACAUUUCAUAGCCAAUGCAUUAAGUAUGCCAAAACCACAAAUUGCAGUUCAAAUCUAUUUGGCAUGUGCUCCAAAAUGGACAUAAUGCAGCAAAACGCUGUGUUGCACACACAGGAAAACAACAAAAACCACUUUUUUUCACACCACAACUGGUAAAACAGAGAAUGUGGAGAAAGAGACAAAACACACCCUUCCCCACUUUUCAGAUAGAAAAAGGAGUUGCUUUUGCAGGACAAACGUAUAAUAAAACACAGAAAGAAAAAGGAUAAAGUUAUCAAUAACCAAAAUAAUAAGAGAAUCACCAAGAAUGCACUGAACUGUUAUUUCAGUUGUUAUGCUAUCAGAAGCUGCACCAAACAGUCGCCACAAAUGUACACUGAUGCUUUUAGUCACUGCAUCAGUUAAUGUCAUCUCAACUCCUUCUCUAAUCUUCAAAUGCAGAAGAAAGUUCAAUGAGCACUAGAAAUCCCUUUUAUUUGAAAGGUGAAGAUUCUAACAGGAAAAAAAAAAAAAAACAGAUUAUAAGAAUGUCACGUUUCCACCACAUUGUUAUCACAUGUAGUUUGGACAUGAGUAUCGCAUAUCCAAUGGAUGUUGAAUCAAACUUAAUACCAGUAAACAGCUAUUUUUAUAUGUUUUAUCAGAAUUAUAAUUAAACAUCAAGAACUAAAGGCUAUCAGCAGAAGCAGGGUUACCAGAUCACAUUGCAACGCUUCUUAUGUGCGACAGUUCGAUCCUCUACUACUUUUCACAAAUGUUAAAUAUUUCCAGUUCAAGAUAAUCCAUCAAAAUACUCAUGAAGUUACACCAAAAACCUUGGCAUCAUUUCAGUCCCGAAAAUUAACCAGAUAUUUGUAUUUUAGCAUAAUCAAAGCAUGUCGACAAAAUAUUAUAUAUAUAUAUAUAUACAUAGAGAGAGAGAGAGAGAGAGAGUAACACAGGCAUCAUAUAAAUCCAAUCUAAGAAAAAUCAAUAAACCAAAUAGUCCACUUCCUAUUAAAAGACUCAAUAAAACAAGCAAUCACCAAAUUAAGAGAACCAUAAAUAAUCUCGAAUACCAAAAAAACAACUAAAACCCUCAAUUCUACACACCGAAGCAAACUCGUGUCCGGGAAGAAUGUCCACAACCAAGCCCAGCGUCAUCGAUGGACUGUUCUUCAGCAACUCACAAGCCUCGCUGGCCUUAACCAUAGCAGUGGACUGGUCCUCUGCAGUAACAAAUGGCAAUAUCGGUGCCUCACCCCACCCCACACAACCAUCGCUCAAAUGAAUCCUAAUUGCCACAUUUUCUACUUUAUCAAGCCUCGAUGAGGCUAUUGUAAAAAGGUGCGAUCAAUGGUCUAUUCUCUGCCCUCUUAACAUCCAUGGCAAAACUCUCCGUCAAGUCCCUAAAAUGAAAGCUUGAAACUUUUUUGGGUUUUGAUCCAGCCAUUGCUUUUGUUGCAUAAAUCUUGCAAAUGGGAUCUGGAGGUUUCGAGGGUUUUGGAGGGGUUUUAAGGGUGAUAUAGAGAGACCCCAUUGAAAGCAUUUAGUACUGAUUUGGGGUUUUGAGAAUUGGGGUUUUAGCGUGGUCGGUUCUUUUUUUUUAUUAUUAUUAUAAUAAUAAUAAAGUGUUUUAAAAAAAAAUAAGGUUGAUUUUUGUUUUUAUUAUUUUUAAAUUGUUUUAAUGGGUUUAUAUUUAAAAAUAUAUUUUAAAAAGUAAACUUUUAAUUGGAAUAUGAAAUCGAAGUGGGAGGAUCAAAUUUAUUGUAACUUCAAAGUGUUUUUAAUUCAAGAUAAUUUUUAUUUUUAUUUUGUUGUUUCUUUAUGUGUUUUUGUUUCAUCUGUUUGUUUUCAUUUCCUGUUGGAUAAAAUUCUUUUUAAGUCUUCGUAGUUAAGUAAGUAUCUCACUUUAAUCCUUCUAAGUUAUAAUUCAUAAAUUAACUCUCUAAAUUUAAUUAAUUAUAAACUUAUUAUAAACAAUCAAUAAUCAAAUCACUAUGUCUCGAAGAUAUGCUCAAUUUCUUACCCAUCGUAGAUUUAAAUUUUGCAACCAAAUAAUAAUAAUAAUAAUAAAUUAAAGAUUAUUAAAAAAUUAUUUCAAUCUAAUAAUUUAAGAUAUUAUAUUAGAUUUUAAUAUAUAAUUUACAAUAUUCUGUAACACAUUCCCUCAAGUACUUUUUAGAUUUAAAAUUUAUACAGAUCCACAUUAACUUGUAUUUAAUUUUUAUUAAAUAAAUAAAAAUAAUAAACUUCAAACUCAUAACUGCUUAAUUAUUAAAGCUAUGAUAUUAUAUUAAUAAAACCAUCAUCUAAUAAUUUAAACUAUUAAAUUAAAUCUCAAAAUAUAAUUACAAAGCAAAGAUCACUGUUACUUUGCAAACAGGUGCGUGCAUCUGUGGUCUAUUGGGAGUUCCAUCAUGCAGAAUAAGGCUGGCAGAUGGUUAUGAUCAGUUCUUGAAAUUUGGGUAGAAAAUGAUCAUGUGGCUCGUAGUAGAAUGCCCUCGCAGCCAGGAACUGGUAUUCUUCUUUGUAAGGUAAAGCAGAAUAAAAAAAUAACAUGAUAAGAUUAAAAACAAAAACACUUUUCUUAAUUUGUUAAUAGAUAGCAGUAGCGGCCAUGCAAAGCAACCUUCAAGGCCAAGCCCCAAGCCAUGCCUUGCUUGUUCACGUCCAUACCUUCCUUUACCACAAAGCUUAGAACCCCUUCGAUCAUGCAUGCUCGUCUAUUUAUAAGCAGCUGGCGCAGAUCUUACCAGCACAGAUUCAUUAGCCAUCUUACCUGUUUAUAGAAACAAAAAGGAGAGUUCUUAUAUUCAGUCCUCAGAAUCGUAAUAAUGCCGAUUUACUCAUCGGAUUCCGAUAAUGAAACAACGCCGCGGACAAAGCUUUUUGGGAGGCAAAGACCGAUACGUUCUGUUCUAGGAGGAGGACAAGGUACAGCAUGUUUUUAUGGGUCCAAUCUAGCUAUAGGGCGUUUAAGACAAACAUACUUAUGUUAGAUUAUAUUCUGAGCUUCAUUGUUUCAUUGCAAAACCGGCAUAAAUAUCAUGUUUCUUAAGCUUUGCUCUUGGAUUUUGCAGUUGCUGAUGUAUUAUUAUGGGAAAACAAAAAAGUGUCAGCGACACUUUCUGUUGGAAUGACUGUCUUGUGGCUUCUUUUCGAGGUUGCGGAGUACAAUCUUGUGACUCUCUUCAGUCACAUCUCCAUCGCUGCGAUGCUCAUUGUAUUCAUAUGGUUCACCACCGCAGAUUUCUUCAAUUGGUAAAUAAUUAAUCGCCCGUAUAUAUGAUUUUGCUUAUAUUUAACAGCAGAAUUAUAUUAUUUUCUUGAUCACAAAGUUGCAGUCCUAAAUCCCAGUCAAUAAUACAUGUUCUUACGUAACUCCUAGCCACUGCAUUAAUUGGACUGAAUCAUAAACUGUUUUUCAGGAAUCAUCCCGAGCUCCCAACAAGUAUUUUAGACAAAUCUACAUUCCAGGAACUCGCUUUCACCCUCCAUGGAAGAUCCAAUGAGGUCUUGUCAAAGUUCAUGGACAUCGCACGUGGAAGAGAACCAGCACUCUUCUUCAUGGUAUACUUGCCAUUCAUUAACAACAAUCAUUCUAAUUUGAAACAAAUUCUUGAUCAAUUACUGGCACAUGACUAACAUUAAUCUUUCUUUUUUUUUGUUCUCUCGUGUAUUUGUUAUCAGACAAUAUUCUUUCUCUAUAUAUUAUCAGUGAUUGGAAACUAUUUCACCUUCUUGAAUUUCCUGUAUCUAUGUGAGUAACAAAUUUCUGGCAACUGCCUUCUUAAUCAAACAUAUACUUGCCCCAUCCAUGCAUAUUGUAGGACUAACGAGUUGAUUUCUUGUGUGUCAAGGUCUUGUUUGCUUGCAAACUCUGCCAUUUCUCUAUAAUAAAUAUGAGGAAGAGGUUGACAAGUAUGCUGGGAAAUUGAUUCGACGAGCUAAGAAAAUGUUUAAGAGCUUUGAUUCCAAUGUUCUUAACAAGAUACCAAGAGGGCCUGUGAAACAGAAGAAAACCAGAUGAAAUGCUAUAUAUUUCUUUCCACCGAAGAUGAAAAUGUGUAAAUAAAAAGGUGUUUAGUUUAAUUUAUAUGUGUGGAAGUUUGUUUAUCAUAGAUUUGCAAAGUUGUUCCUUGUGUAAUGUAAAUAUGAACAGCAAUAAAAAGUUGGGAUUUCUCUUUUUUUUCUUUUAACUUUUCAUUUUCUCAAGUAUUUGCAUAUUCGUUUUUUUUUUCAGGAGUAAUUGUAUUGCUCUUGUGAAAAAGAUUGCUAGACCAAAAAAAUUAAUUUUAAAAAUAAUAAAAAUUAAAAAAUUAAUUUGAAGAACUUAACAAAAACUUGAAAAAUUAACCAGCAAACUGAAAAACUUAGAAAAUCAUCCUCCAAAAUUAACCUAUUUCAUUGGCAUGAGCAUAUUUCUAUUUACAAGGCUUGGUUUUAUAAAUAUAAUUUGUUUUUCUUGGUUUCCUAUUUUUUUUUUUCCAUGUUUUAAUGUUUUCUGAUUUUUUCUUGGAUUUUUCAGGAUAUUUUCAUUCAAAAGGAACAAAAGGUAUGUAUCAAAAUGCUAAAACAAUUUUGAACUCAAAAAUCCCGACUAAUUAACAAGAUGCAUGCAUGCUAAUGCUUGAAAAAUGCAUUAAUCAACAUAAUAUUUGUAAAGAUCCAACACUGUUUUGGAGUUUUCCAAUGAUGAAGGAACUUAACCCAUCAUCCCAAAUCCUAAUCGGCUUCCACAAGCUCUAUAAUACUCAAAAGUAUUGUUUAAUAAAUAGUUUAAAUAGUAAUAAACAAGAUAUGAAUAGGGUUUCCACUACUAAUUAGGCCAGUUGCAGCCUUCCCAAGUCAACAUCGCUAGAAAAUAAAAUUAUUAAGAGUAGCUAGUGAAAGUUGAUGCCAAAUUUGAAGGAGGGCAAGUGGAGGCCACAGACCUCACUAUGACUGCACGAUCGGGAUUUAGCUGUCACAAAUUAUGUGGCAAAUUGGCUGCGAUGUUAUAGUUCUUCAGCAAAAUCAUCGAUCUUAAUGAGAACAAAGAGUGGAACAAAUCAUCUGGAUAACAGUUCGGAUAACCUCUUGCGAGCAGUUUUGCUAACCCUUUGUCUACUUUCAGCCAUAGUCUUCUCUUGUGCAGAUGGAACAAAUCAUCUGGAGCUGAUUCGGCCAUUUAUGGUGGAGGGUGUGCUGCUGGAUGUGGUGCAGCCGCCUGUGGUGGAUAACAGUUCUUACUUCUGUCUUCUCAUACUGCAAUUAAACCUAGAAAACCUUGCAGCUUUUGUACACUGUAGUGGUCAAUUGAUCGACUCGGCUAUAGUUCAGAAAUUCAAAGCGACAGUUGUUCGUUGACUUGGCGAUGUUACAGAUAUAUCCCACCAAUCAUGGAAAAGAAUGUUGAAGUCCAUUUAUAGUAGCUUUAAUCAAUAAUUGGUACUUUUGAAUUUUUCUGCUCAGAGGUAAAAGUUACCCCUAUUUGGUUUAGCGUUCCAAACACAUAUCCGGUAAAUUUUGAAUUUUUUUAUUUAAAAUUAUUUUUAAAUUGUUUAUAUGUAUUAAUAUUAAAAAUAAAUUUUAAAAAAUAAAAAAUAUAUUUUCAAGUAAAAAUUAAUAACUACCCCACGUUCAAACAGACAGAACCUUAACCAUCAACCAAAAUUGUCGUUAAAUAAAUAAAUAAAUAAGUUUUCUAUUGAUUGUGAAUACAAUUCAUGAGAAUGGAGGCUUUGUUUUUCAUCCAAACUCUUAUGUUACGUUUAAAUUAUAUAUAUAACAUUAUAAUCCAUCCAUAAACAAUAAUGUCAAGAUGGCCGAGUUGGUCUAAGGCGCCAGUUUCAGGUACUGGUCCGAAAGGGCAUGGGUUCGAAUCCCAUUCUUGACAAUAUAUUUUUCCAAUUUUUCCCCUUCAGGUGAAUUUCUUAGGCUAGUCGACUAAAGUUUAGAAUUUCUCCUCCUCCUUUUUUUCCCUAACGGAAAGAUCAAUUAUUCUUACCACACGACCUUUUAAUUACACCUACAAAAAAUUGAUAUUUAUAACAUUUGGAUCUAUAACCAUAUCCCAAUUCUAAUCACUUCUUAUUAUUGUUUUAUCAAAAUUGGCAAACAUUUUGUUCGUAUCAUGAAUUAUUGUAAGAAAAAACAAAAGAAAAAUAUUAUAAUAAUAAUAAUAAUAAUAAUAAAUUCAACAAUUUCAUCAUCAAUUCACAUCCUUCUAAGAGUCUCUUUGGCUCAGCGUUUGUGGCAAUAUUUUUAUUUAACAAUUGCAACAUAUUGUUUGGUUACAAAACCAACUGUAUUUUUCAUGCAUGGGCCCCAUUAUUAUCUGCAUUUAAAACUCAGUUUUGUUAAAGCAGAAACCAUAGUUUUUAAACCUGGACCGGCCCGGCGGGUCGACCCGGUGGCUGGACCGGUCCGGGUUUACUAAAAAACCAUCUAAGGCAACAACCCAGCAAAACCCGGUCGACCCGGCGGGUCGCCCCAUGACCCGGGAGACCCGGGCAAACCCGGACGAGACCCGAUUGGUGUUGGGUCCGUGAUCUGAGUUUGGAGAUCUCGAGGGUAGGCGUUGGUGAUCUCCUUCUCAUCGCCAGCUUGCAAGUCAUGGGAAUAUCCUUGGAGUCGGAGAGUUUCAAUAUUUAACCAGUCCAUAUGGAUCUUGGGACUCCCCAUAUGGUGAUUUCUUCCUUUCCUGGUAUUCAAGCGAGCUCCUGUCUCAUGGAGAUCGUCUUCUCUCUCUUGCCUCUACUUCUUUCAGCGACACCUCUGUAACUGUCCAUGGCAAAAUCCCUCUCAUGCAUUCAUGGUACAAAACACGUUCGCACCCUUCUGAACUAACAGUCGGCUUUAAUAACACUGUCAAUAGAGAUGGCUAUGAAGCAGUUGCAGAGAUGUUUGCAAGGAAUUCAUGCAAAAUGAUCUUGCCAGGAAUGGAUUUGUCGGAUAAGCAUCAGCCUCAGGAGUCCCUGUCCAGCCUAGAGUCCAUACUGGCACAAAUUAGAACGGUUUGCAGAAAACACGAGGUCGAGAUUUCUGGCCAGAACUCGGUGGUUUCUAAAGCUCCUCACGGGUUUGAGCAGAUAAAGAAAAACAUAUCAAGUGAGAGUGCAAUUGAUUU